GAUGAAGAACGCAGUGAAAUGCGAUAAGUAAUGUGAAUUGCAGAAUCCAGUGAAUCAUCGAAUCUUUGAACGCACAUUGCGCCCGCCAGCAUUCUGGCGGGCAUGCCUGUUCGAGCGUCAUUUCAACCCUCGACCUCCCCUUGGGGAGGUCGGCGUUGGGGACCGGCAGCACACCGCCGGCCCUGAAAUGGAGUGGCGGCCCGUCUGCGGCGACCUCUGCGUAGUAAUACAGCUCGCACCGGAACCCCGACGCGGCCACGCCGUAAAACACCCAACUUCUGAACGUUGACCUCGAAUCAGGUAGGACUACCCGCUGAACUUAAGCAUAUCAAUAAGCGGAGA
rnacentral:misc_RNA from 1 species